rnacentral:rRNA from 1 species
CUUUCCUUGACGACGACUGGCGCACGGGUGAGUAACGCGUAUCCAACCUUCCCAUGACCACGGGAUAACCCGUUGAAAGACGGCCUAAUACCGUAUGACGUCGUUUGCCGACAUCGAAAGACGACCAAAGGUUUGGCGGUGAUGGAUGGGGAUGCGUCUGAUUAGCUUGUUGGCGGGGUAACGGCCCACCAAGGCUACGAUCAGUAGGGGUUCUGAGAGGAAGGUCCCCCACAUUGGAACUGAGACACGGUCCAAACUCCUACGGGAGGCAGCAGCC